rnacentral:lncRNA from 1 species
AGGGUCAGUUUUGGGAGUCUAGUACUGUUUUCCUCUUUCCGUUGUUUUUAGUAUCCUUCCUGUAAUUAUCCUUGCUCCUUGUUGGUAUUGAAAGUUUAAGCUGCUUGAGUUACUUCCCUUUGAUCAGUAGCCUGGAACAAGCGGGUUUUUCAGAUAGUUAUCAGGGAGUCAUUGCUGAGAGCAAUAUAUAUAAUUUUAUGAAGUUUCUAGGUCUCAUAGAAAUUAUAAGCAUUCACAGCAGCACCCACAGAGUGAUCCUGUUUGUAUGUGUGAAGCCAUCAGUCAGUUGUAUGUUUGGUAUUUGGUCCCACAGACCUUAUGCCAUUGUUUUGUCGACUUGGCGAUUAUAUCCCUCAAUUCUGUUGACGUAAUUGUAUACAGAGUAAAGAAUCAUCGCAUAGAGACGAACAGAGUUAUUUAUCAUUAACACCCCUAAAUUGACAAAAGUUACAAUGGAGCCCCCAGUGGUGUGAUGAUACAAACAUUACGUUUAACAAUAAUUGGGGUUAUACCAUCAACUUUGAAUGCCAUAUUGUCGGUAACUGUUCAGUACUAGGAUCCAGUACUGUGGUCAUUUUGAAUGUUUUGGACACUCAGUGAUACAUACUAGGAAAUUAGUGAGCUGUUGUACGAGACACGCGUUGGAAAAUGUAUCUUCGUCUACAUCGGAUUUCAUGGGAAAAUCCAUUCUAAACUAACAAAUUACAACAUUUACGACGUGGAGACAUGCCACUUUCACAGCUAAAUCAGCCAAUUCUACAGACAUAAUUCUUCAAAGCAAGGGAGGAGAGACAUUAUAAAUAUAUUUCUAACCUUAGUAACAUUUAGUAAGAAAUAUACUGUAACAGUGCAGUGGUUGCUAUCGUUG